UACAGAGGUGGCAAGCGUUGUUCGGAAUUACUGGGCGUAAAGGGCGCGUAGGCGGGCUGUCAAGUCCGGGGUGAAAUCCUCCAGCUCAACUGGAGAAUGGCCUCGGAUACUGAUGGUCUCGAGGAGGAUAGGGGCACACGGAACUGUGGGUGGAGCGGUGAAAUGCGUUGAUAUCCAUAGGAACUCCGGUGGCGAAAGCGGUGUGCUGGAUCCUUUCUGACGCUGAUGCGCGAAAGCCAGGGGAGCAAACGGG
rnacentral:rRNA from 1 species